AAAAAUAUACAUAUUUUUUAUUUUAUUUACUUAUAUAUACAUUUAUAAUAUAAGAUGAUAAAUAUUUUAAUUUUUUAAUAAAUGCAUACGAUUAUUUUCGGACAAUAUAAAUAAAUUAUGUAUAGUGGCGAAUUUUUUCUUAAAAUAUGUGAAUUAUUGUUCUACUAACUUUUAUUCAUAUGAGAAAUAUAAUAACAUUAUAUCACAAUUAAUAUAUUAUUAUCAGUAGUAUUAUAUAUUUUAUCAGCGAUAUUCAUAUUGUGUUAGCAUUUUAAUAUUUUGUAAGCCGCUGAAUUAUCGUGUCAGAAUCAUAUCGUAUUUCAUAUCUUGUG
rnacentral:lncRNA from 1 species